GACGAACGCUGGCGGCGUGCUUAACACAUGCAAGUCGAACGGAAAGGCCCUGCUUUUGUGGGGUGCUCGAGUGGCGAACGGGUGAGUAACACGUGAGUAACCUGCCCUUGACUUUGGGAUAACUUCAGGAAACUGGGGCUAAUACCGGAUAGGAGCUCCUGCUGCAUGGAGGGGGUUGGAAAGUUUCGGCGGUUGGGGAUGGACUCGCGGCUUAUCAGCUUGUUGGUGGGGGAGUGGCUUACCAAGGCUUUGACGGGUAGCCGGCCUGAGAGGGUGACCGGCCACAUUGGGACUGAGAUACGGCCCAGACUCCUACGGGAGGCAGCAGUGGGGAAUAUUGCACAAUGGGCGGAAGCCUGAUGCAGCAACGCCGCGUGCGGGAUGACGGCCUUCGGGUUGUAAACCGCUUUCGCCUGUGACGAAGCGUGAGUGACGGUAAUGGGUAAAGAAGCACCGGCUAACUACGUG
rnacentral:rRNA from 1 species